CAUAGGUUAAUGAGGCGAACCGGGGGAACUGAAACAUCUAAGUACCCCGAGGAAAAGAAAUCAACCGAGAUUCCCCCAGUAGCGGCGAGCGAACGGGGAGCAGCCCAGAGCCUGAAUCAGUGUGUGUGUUAGUGGAAGCGUCUGGAAAGGCGCGCGAUACAGGGUGACAGCCCCGUACACAAAAAUGCACAUGCUGUGAGCUCGAUGAGUAGGGCGGGACACGUGGUAUCCUGUCUGAAUAUGGGGGGACCAUCCUCCAAGGCUAAAUACUCCUGACUGACCGAUAGUGAACCAGUACCGUGAGGGAAAGGCGAAAAGAACCCCGGCGAGGGGAGUGAAAAAGAACCUGAAACCGUGUACGUACAAGCAGUGGGAGCACGCUUAGGCGUGUGACUGCGUACCUUUUGUAUAAUGGGUCAGCGACUUAUAUUCUGUAGCAAGGUUAACCGAAUAGGGGAGCCGAAGGGAAACCGAGUCUUAACUGGGCGUUAAGUUGCAGGGUAUAGACCCGAAACCCGGUGAUCUAGCCAUGGGCAGGUUGAAGGUUGGGUAACACUAACUGGAGGACCGAACCGACUAAUGUUGAAAAAUUAGCGGAUGACUUGUGGCUGGGGGUGAAAGGCCAAUCAAACCGGGAGAUAGCUGGUUCUCCCCGAAAGCUAUUUAGGUAGCGCCUCGUGAAUUCAUCUCCGGGGGUAGAGCACUGUUUCGGCAAGGGGGUCAUCCCGACUUACCAACCCGAUGCAAACUGCGAAUACCGGAGAAUGUUAUCACGGGAGACACACGGCGGGUGCUAACGUCCGUCGUGAAGAGGGAAACAACCCAGACCGCCAGCUAAGGUCCCAAAGUCAUGGUUAAGUGGGAAACGAUGUGGGAAGGCCCAGACAGCCAGGAUGUUGGCUUAGAAGCAGCCAUCAUUUAAAGAAAGCGUAAUAGCUCACUGGUCGAGUCGGCCUGCGCGGAAGAUGUAACGGGGCUAAACCAUGCACCGAAGCUGCGGCAGCGACGCUUAUGCGUUGUUGGGUAGGGGAGCGUUCUGUAAGCCUGCGAAGGUGUGCUGUGAGGCAUGCUGGAGGUAUCAGAAGUGCGAAUGCUGACAUAAGUAACGAUAAAGCGGGUGAAAAGCCCGCUCGCCGGAAGACCAAGGGUUCCUGUCCAACGUUAAUCGG
rnacentral:rRNA from 1 species